AAACAUUUUUGAAAAGACUAUCAGGCUUGUAUGUGGUGGCUGCAAAUGGCAGCCUCCUUGGGAAUGCAUGGGCCUGUUGCCUAUAUAGAUUGCUCUGAGAAGCCUUGGAGACAAUU
rnacentral:snoRNA from 1 species